rnacentral:rRNA from 1 species
AACGCGAAGAACCUUACCUACUCUUGACAUCCRAAGUACUUUCCAGAGAUGGAAGGGUGCCUUAGGGAACUUUGAGACAGGUGCUGCAUGGCUGUCGUCAGCUCGUGUUGUGAAAUGUUGKGUUAAGUCCCGUAACGAGCGCAACCCUYGUCCUUAUUUGCCAGCGCGUAAAGGCGGGAACUUUAAGGAGACUGCUGGUGAUAAACCGGAGGAAGGCGGGGACGACGUCAAGUCAUCAUGGCCCUAACGAGUAGGGCUACACACGUGCUACAAUGGCAAAUACAAAGGGUCGCAAAACGGUAACGUGAAGCUAAUCCCAAAAAAAUUGUCUAAGUUCGGAUURGAGUCUGCAACUCGACUCCAUAAAGUCGGAAUCGCYAGUAAUCGCGAAUCAGAAUGUCGCGGUGAAUACGUUCUCGGGCCUUGUACACACCG